UAGGCUAGGUAGGAUAACUGUUGUAGGCUAGGUAGGAUAACUGUUGUAGGCUAGGUAGGAUAACUGUGUUGUUCUCACUGGAAAACAACAAGGCAACCAUUCAUUACAUUACCCAUAGAAUAGUCUAGGAUAAGUGUUGUAGGCUAGGUAGGAUAACUGUUGUAGGCUAGGUAGGAUAACUGUUGUAGGCUAGGUAGGAUAACUGUUGUAGGCUAGGUAGGAUAACUGUUGUAGGCUAGGUAGGAUAACUGUUGUAGGCUAGGUAGGAUAACUGUGUUGUUCUCACUGGAAAACAACAAGGCAACCAUUCAUUACAUUACCCAUAGAAUAGUCUAGGAUAAGUGUUGUAGGCUAGGUAGGAUAACUGUUGUAGGCUAGGUAGGAUAACUGUUGUAGGCUAGGUAGGAUAACUGUUGUAGGCUAGGUAGGAUAACUGUUGUAGGCUAGGUAGGAUAACUGUUGUAGGCUAGGUAGGAUAACUGUGUUGUUCUCACUGGAAAACAACAAGGCAACCAUUCAUUACAUUACCCAUAGAAUAGUCUAGGAUAAGUGUUGUAGGCUAGGUAGGAUAACUGUUGUAGGCUAGGUAGGAUAACUGUGUUGUAGGCUAGGUAGGAUAACUGUUGUAGGCUAGGUAGGAUAACUGUUGUAGGCUAGGUAGGAUAACUGUGUUGUUCUCACUGGAAAACAACAAGGCAACCAUUCAUUACAUUACCCAUAGAAUAGUCUAGGAUAAGUGUUGUAGGCUAGGUAGGAUAACUGUUGUAGGCUAGGUAGGAUAACUGUGUUGUAGGCUAGGUAGGAUAACUGUGUUGUAGGCUAGGUAGGAUAACUGUUGUAGGCUAGGUAGGAUAACUGUUGUAGGCUAGGUAGGAUAACUGUUGUAGGCUAGGUAGGAUAACUGUGUUGUUCUCACUGGAAAACAACAAGGCAACCAUUCAUUACAUUACCCAUAGAAUAGUCUAGGAUAAGUGUUGUAGGCUAGGUAGGAUAACUGUUGUAGGCUAGGUAGGAUAACUGUGUUGUAGGCUAGGUAGGAUAACUGUGUUGUAGGCUAGGUAGGAUAACUGUGUUGUAGGCUAGGUAGGAUAACUGUGUUGUAGGCUAGGUAGGAUAACUGUGUUGUAGGCUAGGUAGGAUAACUGUGUUGUAGGCUAGGUAGGAUAACUGUGUUGUAGGCUAGGUAGGAUAACUGUGUUGUAGGCUAGGUAGGAUAACUGUGUUGUAGGCUAGGUAGGAUAACUGUGUUGUAGGCUAGGUAGGAUAACUGUGUUGUAGGCUAGGUAGGAUAACUGUGUUGUAGGCUAGGUAGGAUAACUGUGUUGUAGGCUAGGUAGGAUAACUGUGUUGUAGGCUAGGUAGGAUAACUGUGUUGUAGGCUAGGUAGGAUAACUGUGUUGUAGGCUAGGUAGGAUAACUGUGUUGUAGGCUAGGUAGGAUAACUGUGUUGUAGGCUAGGUAGGAUAACUGUGUUGUAGGCUAGGUAGGAUAACUGUGUUGUAGGCUAGGGAGGAUCAUUGUGUCGUAGGCUAGUCUAGGGAGGAGCAUUGUGUCGUAGGCUAGUCUAGGGAGGAUCAUUGUGUCGGAGACUAGUCCAGGGAGGAUUAUUGGGUCGGAGACUAGUCCAGGGAGGAUCAUUGGGUCGGAGACUAGUCUAGGGAGGAUCAUUGUGUCGGAGACUAGUCCAGGGAGGAUCAUUGGGUCGGAGACUAGUUCAGGGAGGAUCAUUGUGUCGUAGGCUAGUCUAGGGAGGAUCAUUGGGUCGGAGACUAGUCCAGGGAGGAUCAUUGGGUCGGAGACUAGUUCAGGGAGGAUCAUUGGGUCGGAGACUAGUCUAGGGAGGAUCA